UCUACGGGAGGCAGCAGUGGGGAAUUUUGGACAAUGGGGGAAACCCUGAUCCAGCCAUCCCGCGUGUAUGAUGAAGGCCUUCGGGUUGUAAAGUACUUUUGGCAGAGAAGAAAAGGCAUCCCCUAAUACGGGAUGCUGCUGACGGUAUCUGCAGAAUAAGCACCGGCUAACUACGUGCCAGCAGCCGCGGUAAUA
rnacentral:rRNA from 1 species